rnacentral:misc_RNA from 1 species
CUGUUCAGCUGCCUGGGACUCGUCAGAUCCUGCACUUCCACCCUUUGGGUGGGGGCUGUAUGUGGUCGCGGGCCCAGUCUUCUAACACCCUUGAUUUUGAGCACCAUUUGUUUCCUCGGCGGGCCUGCCCGCCAGCGAGGACCCCAUAAACUCUUUGUAGUAGCAUCAUUUGUCUGAUAUACCAACAAAAAAUCA